rnacentral:tRNA from 1 species
GGGGUUGUGGCUCAGAGGUAGAGCGCUCCCUUAGCAUGCGUGAGGAACUGGGUUCGAUCCUCAACACCCCA